rnacentral:tRNA from 1 species
GUCCAUGUAGCUUACACAAAGCAUAACACUGAAGAUGUUAAGACGGCUGCCACCCGCACCCAUGGACA